UUCAUUCAUUACUCACAGCACUAUAUAUAGACAAAGUUUAGGCACUUCGGCCAUGCUACUCAGGCCACUACCCAGCCACGACGCUCGGCCACUAACCCACUAAGCCACAUGCACGGCCAAGUCCAGUCCGUUUGCAGCGCUCCCUCAACGGCCACACACCUGGUCAGCAGCUAGCAUGCAGCCUAAAAAUGCUCAAUCCACGGCCUACCGUGUAGCUAGUCCACUAACUAACUCACAGACACUACCAGAAACGCGACUAAGCGUGUGGGCCAACAGCCGUCAGGAAAAUAAAACUGGCCGUCAGGAAUAUAAUUCCUGUCGGCCAACCGACAGGAACAACCGACAGCCAUAGCCUGCCAGGAAUGAAACAAUAUGCCUGCCGGUCGGCCCACAGGAAUAUUAUUGCUGUCGGUUAUUCCUGACGGUUGGCUCACAUGAAAGAAAUGCUCUGUCAGAUUUAUGCCUCCCGGAAAAUACAUAUUCCUGUCAACCACCUAUCAGGAAAGGACGCCAGGAAAUUUGUACUAGGAGGCAUUCCUACCAACUUAUACCUGUAGGUUCAGCCGAUAGGAAUUUGUGCUAGGAAAGCUACAACGUUCGUGCAUUCCUGUCAGCCGUUGGCCGUCACUGUUGCAUCAUGAUGUUUUUUUUCAUAUUCCUGCCGGAAAAGCAAUGUGCUUAACCCAGAUGCUACAGAUGUUACAUUAUUUCACAGAGACCAUGUGAGAAUAGAUUUAUAUGACAACAUCAGACUUCAUAUAUCAUCAUUAUUUCCAUACAUAUAGAUCAACAAAGUACACUACAAGGCUACAAUGGUACCAUCCACAAAAGGACCUUCCAACUACAACAAUACUAGCAAAAUACGCCGGCUUGCAACUACCACCAGAUGUUAGUUCUCAUUCCUAAACCAUACUGGAUACACAAGUCCACAAAAGAGCGUAUGAAGACCACCUACAGUCUGAUGUUAUCAUGUUGUUUGAGCAAUCAGUUUCCGCCAUGGUUGGCUGCUGCGUCAACGAUCUGAUCACCGACAUUCCCAGUGGUGUCGUUCUCCUCGCUCGACUCCAUGACAUCAUUGUUGACAUCAACCGCUUGUGAGCCGGCUUGAGACGAGUUAUUUGUCCCCUGAAUCAAGCCCAAGUAACCAAAUUGUUAUUUAAUCUGAUUUAGAACAAUAAAAACACAAUACUUUGUUGGAUAAUAAGUGGAGACAACAGAACAAAAUAAUUUCCAUUUAUUGAUUAAUGCUUGGCACCAAGAAUGGAUUUUCUUUUCAUUUACAUGUCCAGGCUACUUUGAAGUUUCAAAUAUCUUGAUAUAAAACAUGAAAAAAAAAUUGGGCAUAACAGCUAAAGAAUCUUAUGAGAGUAGACAAGCUCACAGAUGCAAACAGCCAAAUAUCUUGAUAUAAAACAUGAAAAAAAAUCUCAUAUGCAACAUAAUGUUGAUAUUGCAGCUACAUCAGCGUAGACAGGUCAGAAGGAAUGCACAAAUUCAAGUUGAGUAGUGGACAUCACACAUUCAUCCAUAUGAUAUAGAUAACUUCAAGUUUCUCAUACACUUACUUGUGGUUGCGAAACAGCUCCAUGGCUUAGUAUAUGUAGUAUAUGCGCUGGCAACUCUUUUCCUAUCUCCUUGAAAAGUGCCUGCAAAAGGAAGAAAUGUUACUCGAGUUGAUAAUUGAGAAGUUGAGAUCCAUUGGUUUAGAAUUUGGGCGUUAAUUUGUACAUACAGUUAUGAGCUGUCCAUGCAUAUCUACUUUCUGCUGUAGCAUCUCCUUAGCACGCCUGAGUUCUGCAUUUUCUUCAUUAGCACGCCUUUGCAAUCUAUCUUUUAGAGGGAGGUACCGCAAAACUUUACGUGGGAUUUUCUUUUGGCCUUCCUCGUAACGAGAUGUGCCACAAAAAAGUCACACUUCUCUUCAUGUUUGUUAUCUUUGUAAUACAACAUGCAAUUAUUUUUGCACACAUCUAUUUUGACAUAUGGCAUCCCAAGACCUUCUAAGAGUUUCUUGGAUUGGUAGAAGUCUUCGGACAAAUUAGAUUCAGGAGGCAAAAGUUCAUGGAUUAUUUUUAAGGUAUCAUCAAAAUGUGCAAUGGACAUGUUGUAUUGUGAUUUCAUAGCCAACAAACGAGCUACAGCAGAAAGACGUGAGUGUUUUGUGUUCUCAUGUACCAAUUCAUCGGCACUACUGACCAUCCUAUAAAAAGCCUUGGCAGAGGAGGUUGGCUCCUCAGUAACCGGUGGAAGAUGGCUACCACCUAAGUCAACCAACAUAUUGUCCAUUCGAUCAGUUGCAUUACAGCCCUCUUGAUGUACUAAAGGGACAGAUCCAUCAGCAGCAGCUACAAAACUCUCACCAUGUUCUGUCCAGGUUUUGUAAUUUGGCUUAUACCCAUGUUUAUACAAGUGUUUCUACAAUGUGCCUUUCUUGCGGAAAAUAAUUCCGACAUUUGGCGCAUGGACACUUAAUUUUACCACCUUCAGCUACAGAAGAGAAGGCCCGGUCUAUAAAUCGUGCAGUUUCUUCAAGCCAUAUAUUAGAAGGGACUUGACCAAACACCCAUCCACUAUACAUCCAAUCACGGUUCUUCAUUAUUUAACCAAGAACUCAUACUGAAAUAAAAUUCACAGAAAUGGGGCUAUUUCAGAAAAAUAAUAGCAUACUAAAGGGCAGCAGCACAAAUAACAAUUCACAAAAAGACAAUUGUUUCAGACAUAAAUUUAAGAGCUCAAAGCUAUAACUUACCAAUAUACUUGUUCAAGCUGGGAAAUUACGGCGUCGAAAAGGGUGGCCAGCCAACUCCCCUAGCUGUUCACUGAUGUUUCUGGAAUAUGAAAAGAUAAGAUUAUUCUAGGAUUUAUAGAUCUUAAAUUCACUUUAAAUAAAUAAAUAAAUAGCAGGUAGGUGUCACGGAAGCUACAACCUAGAAAAAAUGAACAAUUAGAUGGUCAUGUACAUAAGCUACAUGCUAGUUGUUCACUGAUGUUGCUACAGAAGCUCCAACUUACGUCUAAGAACAACCAAAACUAAUCUGUCCAAAUCAACUUGCACACGAAAGAACUGUACAUGGUCAUGUACAACUAGUUUUGCGUUGGAACCCAUAAAAAUUGGUGUUUGAACUUAUCCAAAUCAACCGUAUACUAAUCAGAUGUGCCUAAAUUAGUUCCAACGAAGCUUGUACGCUACACAAGAAAUAGAGCAAACAAAUCGUAGAUCUAGGAAAAGAAGGUAAUAUAUUACCAGAGAUAUGGAGAAUGGGGACUUGUGAGGCAGCGAGUAGAGGAGUACAGGCAGCCGGAGGUGAAGACGUGUAAAUCUGAAUGGGGGGACAAGUACGGGAGCUUGGUGGGGGGCAGAUGCUGGUGCUCCGGCGGGUGGCGAGGCAGAGACCGGCACUACGCAAGUGGUGAGGAAGAUGCAGGCGGAAGGAAGGCCUUCCGCAGGGAGGGGAGGCAGCCGCGACGGUAGAUGGGAGGAUGGUGUAGCUGCUGCCACGGCGGUGGACCUGCGGAUGGUGUGGCGGCGGCGGCGGUGGACCGGAGGAUGGUGUGGCGGCGGUGGCGGUGGACCGGAGGGUGGUGUGGCGGCGGCGGCGGUGGACCGGAGGAUGGUGUGGCGGCGGCUCCGGCUGUGGACCGGACGAUGGUGGCGGCGGCGGUGAAGCGCAGGACUGGAUUGGGGAUCGAGAGGAUUCUGGAGACUACGACUGAAUUGGGGAUGGAGGCUGUAUGUGUUUGCCCUCUCCUUUUGUAUUGGGCCUAACUCUGUGAGCCCAAACACACAGGAAAAUAGACAAAAGGGUGGGCCUCUCCGAAAAAAUGUGCGCGCAAUAAAAACCCGAUGGCGCGAAGCGGCAGCCCGCGGGCGCGAAGGGCCGAAUGCGAUUCCUGUGGGCCGCGACGCACAGGGAUAUACUUUUCCUGUGCGCCUGCUCAGAACCUACAGGAAUAUGGUGAAAAAACCUGUCGGUCAGUGUCUGGCCCACAGUAAAAUGACAUUUUCCUGGGAGUCUACGCGGGGCCGACGGGAAUAUAUGUUGGCUCACAGGCUUAAUCACGAUUCUGGUAGUGAGAAUACUAGCUCUACCGAUCAGCUUUGCAUGGUGCACGUGAUCACAACUUAACGUGCACACCCUGCCGCAGCUUGUACUAAAUGCAUGACUCAACAAAAACAAAUAAUCUAAAACUAGCGCUAAUAACAAGAUUAGUUCUAACAUUCACCUCCCUAAUCUUGUUAACUUAUUUCUCUCUUGAAGCCAACCGUCGUCGAUGUCGUCGUUGCAACACGGAGAUGGCUGCCAAUGCGAUCUUGUCACGCCGAUUACCGCCGUCGCCGCUGGCCUCCACGAGAGGCGCACCUCCUAUGCCUUCGCCGCGAGUGCCGCCAUUGCUCGCUUGCUGCCACAUGUUCUUCACCGAUGCCGCAACUUGCCGGUGGCUCAGCUCGAUGUUGUCGUUGAUGACGCACCUUGUCGACGACCCGCACAUGUUCAUCACCGGUGCCGCAACUCGCCGGUGACCCACCUCCACGUUGCCGUCGAUGACGCACCUUGUCGACGACUCGGACGUGGAUGAUGACCUCCUCAUGGUAAUGGUCUCCACGCAUUGGCCAUCACCUCCUUGCCGCCGGUGCCACAACUUACCGGGCAACAUAUCUUUCUCCAUCGCUCGUGACGCAGCUCAACGAUGAUGGAGACACGCACCGGCCGCAAGCAGCAUCGCGCUGCCAACAGCGUCCACCUUGCGUCGCCGACCUCCACCUCACACGGAGUCCGCCGCGGCGCCACCACCGCCUUGGAUCGACAAGGCUCUGAUGCCAAUUGUUGGCGCCGCCUCCUCGCAGCGCCGCUCUUGUUCUUCUACCUUGGUGCUGCCUCUCACAGCUCCCUCUCUUUUUCUCUGGUUGUUUCUCUCAAACACAAAAGAACACCCACACACACGCACCAAGAAGGAGCACAAUGGCUUUGCUAGUGGCUCUCUCCUUGGUGAAACACAUAUACUACAUUGCUUUUGCCCCAGCCCACACGGCUUGCCUUCAUUCAUUACUCACAGCACUAUAUAUAGACAAAGUUUAGGCACUUCUGCCAUGCUACUCAGGCCACUACCCAGCCACGACGCUCGGCCACUAACCCACUAAGCCACAUGCACGGCCAAGUCCAGUCCGUUUGCAGCGCUCCCACAACGGCCACACACCUGGUCAGCAGCUAGCAUGCAGCCUAAAAAUGCUCAGUCCACGGCCUACCGUGUAGCUAGUCCACUAACUAACUCACAGAAUACUAGCUCUACCGAUCAGCUUUGCAUGGUGCACGUGAUCACAACUUAACAUGCACACCCUGCCGCAGCUUGUACUAAAUGCAUGACUC
rnacentral:lncRNA from 1 species